rnacentral:rRNA from 1 species
GAGUAACGCGUGAGAACCUGCCUUCAGAAUGGGGACAACAGUUGGAAACGACUGCUAAUACCCAAUGUGCCGAAAGGUGAAAGAUUUAUCGUCUGAAGAUGGGCUCGCGUCUGAUUAGCUAGAUGGUGGGGUAAGAGCCUACCAUGGCAACGAUCAGUAGCUGGUCUGAGAGGAUGAGCAGCCACACUGGGACUGAGACACGGCCCAGACUCCUACGGGAGGCAGCAGUGGGGAAUUUUCCGCAAUGGGCGAAAGCCUGACGGAGCAAUACCGCGUGAGGGAGGAAGGUCCUUGGAUUGUAAACCUCUUUUAUCAGGGAAGAAAAAAAUGACGGUACCUGAUGAAUAAGCAUCGGCUAACUCCGUGCCAGCAGCCGCGGUAAUACGGAGGAUGCAAGCGUUAUCCGGAAUUAUUGGGCGUAAAGCGUCCGUAGGUGGUUUUGCAAGUCUGCUGUUAAAGAAUGGAGCUUAACUCCAUAAGAGCGGUGGAAACUGCAAGACUAGAGUACAGUAGGGGUAGCAGGAAUUCCCAGUGUAGCGGUGAAAUGCGUAGAUAUUGGGAAGAACAUCGGUGGCGAAAGCGUGCUACUGGGCUGAAACUGACACU